rnacentral:lncRNA from 13 species
AGGGUGUUCCAAAUUUUGGGGGUGUCCCCACUUUGGGGUGUCCCCAAAUUCGAGCUAUCCCAAUUUUGGGGGUGUCCCCAUUUUGGGGUGCCCCCAAAUUCGAGCUAUUCCAAUUUUGGGGUGUCCCAAUUUUGGGGUUGUCCUCACCUUGAGGUGUCCCAAAUUUCGGGGUGUCCCUCCCUGGCCUGGCAGCACCCCUGGGACAGGGUGGGGGACACCGAGGGUCCCUCCAGCUCCAGAAGGGACCAGGACCACGGGCAGGGUGGGGGUGGCAACCGCUGGCCCCUCGUUGCCCCCUCGCUGCCACCCCCCUGGGGACACGGGGACAGCACCCAAGGGUGGCCAGAGGGGACAUCUGACCAUAAAGUGCAAACCGGGAUGGCCCCGGGAUGGGGACAGGGACAAAGCGGGGGGUGGCACCUGGGGGGUGGCCAUGGCUGGGAUCGGCAGGGAGGGACAGCGUGGCCACCACUGGGACCAGCUGGGGAUGUCACCUGAGGGGCCACCAUGGAUGGGAUCACCUGGGGAUGUCACCUGGGGGGCCACCAGGGCCGGGAUCAUCUGGGGAUGUCACCUG